GAUGAACGCUGGCGGCGUGCUUAACACAUGCAAGUCGAACGGUGAAGGCGGAGCUUGCUCUGCUGGAUCAGUGGCGAACGGGUGAGUAACACGUGAGCAAUCUGCCCCUGACUCUGGGAUAAGCGCUCGAAACGGCGUCUAAUACUGGAUACGAGCUGCGAAGGCAUCUUCAGCAGCUGGAAAGAACUUCGGUCAGGGAUGAGCUCGCGGCCUAUCAGCUUGUUGGUGAGGUAACGGCUCACCAAGGCGUCGACGGGUAGCCGGCCUGAGAGGGUGACCGGCCACACUGGGACUGAGACACGGCCCAGACUCCUACGGGAGGCAGCAGUGGGGAAUAUUGCACAAUGGGCGAAAGCCUGAUGCAGCAACGCCGCGUGAGGGACGACGGCCUUCGGGUUGUAAACCUCUUUUAGCAGGGAAGAAGCGAAAGUGACGGUACCUGCAGAAAAAGCGCCGGCUAACUACGUG
rnacentral:rRNA from 1 species